rnacentral:lncRNA from 1 species
AAUAAUAAAAAGAGACGAUUGUUAAUAUCCACAUUAGAACCUAAAUUAAUGCAUGAGUUAUGAUUCCCUGAAGAACAUCAAAUAAUCUCCUGACCAAUCCAAGAUCAGGCUAUCAAAUUACUAAGCCAGAACCUAAAUUUAGUAUCCAGCUACAUAAUUCUAAUUUGAGGACAAGUAAACUCCUACCAACAUGGCGUAGUCAUGAUCACGUGCCCCAACCUCAGAUGCCCCUUCGCUCACGAGUCCGCGUUCAGUGCAAUGCACAAAAUUUAAUCAGCCAAGCUGGUUCCCACAAAUCAAUGGUGGAUGAUUCAAUAGGACAAACAUCGUACGUACGGAUACAUGACCAUUACGGUGGAUUCGUAAUCCGUUGUACGCCGUUUAACCUGGUCGCACCAGUGUAACCCCAUCCAUCAUAAGGAUAAGCUUGUCUGAAAGCAUCUCGACC